UACGAAGGGUGCAAGCGUUAAUCGGAAUUACUGGGCGUAAAGCGUGCGUAGGUGGUCUUUUAAGUCCGUUGUGAAAGCCCUGGGCUCAACCUGGGAAUGGCAGUGGAUACUGGGAGGCUGGAGUACGGUAGAGGAGGGUGGAAUUCCCGGUGUAGCGGUGAAAUGCGUAGAGAUCGGGAGGAACAUCAGUGGCGAAGGCGGCCCUCUGGACCAGUACUGACGCUGAGGCACGAAAGCGUGGGGAGCAAACAGG
rnacentral:rRNA from 1 species